rnacentral:rRNA from 1 species
UAGGGAAUAUUGGACAAUGGGGGCAACCCUGAUCCAGCCAUGCCGCGUGAGUGAAGAAGGCCCUCGGGUUGUAAAGCUCUUUUGUCCGGAAAGAAAAGCAUCGGGUUAAUACCCCGGUGUUCUGACGGUACCGGAAGAAUAAGCACCGGCUAACUUCGUGCCAGCAGCCGCGGUAAUACGAAGGGUGCAAGCGUUACUCGGAAUUACUGGGCGUAAAGCGUGCGUAGGUGGUUCGUUAAGUCUGAUGUGAAAGCCCUGGGCUCAACCUGGGAAUGGCAUUGGAAACUGGCGGACUGGAGUGCGGCAGAGGGUAGCGGAAUUCCCGGUGUAGCAGUGAAAUGCGUAGAGAUCGGGAGGAACAUCCGUGGCGAAGGCGGCUACCUGGACCAGCACUGACACUGAGGCACGAAAGCGUGGGGA